UGGUACCCCGACCCUACACUAUUCCAGUAA
rnacentral:piRNA from 1 species